rnacentral:rRNA from 1 species
GAUGAACGCUGGCGGCGUGCCUAAUACAUGCAAGUCGAACGAGGUGCUUUUGUAGCAAUACGAGAGUAUCCUAGUGGCGAACGGGUGAGUAACGCGUUGGUGACCUACCCCAAAGUGUGGGAUAACAGUCCGAAAGGAUUGCUAAUACCGCAUGUGGUCAUUGGAUUUAGAAACUGAUGACUAAAGGAGCAAUUCGCUUUGGGAGGGACCUGCGUCCCAUCAGCUAGUUGGUGAGGUAAUGGCUCACCAAGGCGACGACGGGUAGGGGACCUGAGAGGGUGACCCCCCACAAUGGAACUGAAACACGGUCCAUACACCUACGGGUGGCAGCAGUAGGGAAUAUUGCUCAAUGGGCGAAAGCCUGAAGCAGCAACGCCGCGUGUGUGAUGAAGGCCUUCGGGUCGUAAAGCACUUUUCUGGGAGAUGAGAAAGGACAGUAUCCCAGGAAUAAGUCUCGGCUAACUACGUGCCAGCAGCCGCUGUAAUAC